UCCCUCUGUCUUUCCUUGCAACUGAUGUUGUCUCGUGUGGCGAAAUAAAAUCUUUCUCGUUCAUCGAUUUCCAUUUCUACCUCGUAUUGGUAUUUCGCGCACCACGAGGAGAUGACUUUUGCUACGAAUUCGAUAAAUCGAUUGGAUUAUUUUCCUUUCACCGAUUUUGCGUCGUGCAACACCGCCGCGUGAUAGUGCGCGUACACGCUUUUCAAGAAUCUUGAUCGAGGAUAAAAAAGAUGGAUUGGGGAUAAAGGAAAAAAAUACGCGCCUGUUCCUACCAAGGAUCUCGUUGGAUGAGGAUGACGGAACGGAAUCUUCAACGGUUCGAUGACCCUGCUCGGAUAUUGAAUUUCCUCUUGCGGUAUAUAAAAAUACGGAUGAAAAGUGGCGUUAAAAGGAACUACCGGUUUGAGAGAGCUUUUUCGGUUAUAUAAAAUUUUUAUAAUACCGAUAGCCACCGAUAGCGAGUGAAAGUCAAUUACGCUUAGGUAACAAUUUUUUUUUUACUAUAAAAAAUGUUCUUAAAGGUAUUAAUUUUAGAUCCUGUAGGAAACGUUCGUGUUAGAUUAAAAUGUAAAAU